GACGAACGCUGGCGGCGUGCUUAACACAUGCAAGUCGAACGGAAAGGCCCUGCUUUUGUGGGGUUCUCGAGUGGCGAACGGGUGAGUAUCACGUGAGUAACCUGCCCUUUACUUUGGGAUAACUUCAGUAAACUGGGGCUAAUACCGGAUAGGACCUCCUUCUGCAUGGUGGUUGUUUGAAAGUUUCGUCGUUUGGGGAUGGACUCGCGGCUUAUCAGCUUGUUGGUGGGGUAGUGGCUUACCAAGGCUUUGACGGGUAGCCGGACUGAGAGGGUGACCGGCCACAUAGGGACAGAGAAACGGCCAGGACUGCUACGGGAGGAAGCAGUGGGGAAUAUUGCAAAAAGGGCGGAAGCAGGAAGGAGCAACUCCGCGUGGUGGAUGACGGCCUGCAGGGUGGAAACCGCGUGAGCCUGGGAAGAAGAGUGAGUGACGGUAAUGGGUAAAGAAGCAACGGCUAACUACGUG
rnacentral:rRNA from 1 species